CGGCCUACGGGAGGCAGCAGUGGGGAAUAUUGGGCAAUGGGCGCAAGCCUGACCCAGCAACGCCGCGUGAAGGAUGAAGGUUUUCGGAUUGUAAACUUCUGUCGCGAGGGACGAAGAAUGACGGUACCUCGUAAGAAAGCCCCGGCUAACUACGUGCCAGCAGCCGCGGUAAUACGUAGGGGGCAAGCGUUAUCCGGAAUUACUGGGUGUAAAGGGUGAGUAGGCGGCAUGGUAAGCCAGAUGUGAAAGCCUUGGGCUUAACCCGAGGAUUGCAUUUGGAACUAUCAAGCUAGAGUACAGGAGAG
rnacentral:rRNA from 1 species